rnacentral:rRNA from 1 species
GAUGAACGCUGGCGGCGUGCCUAACACAUGCAAGUCGAACGAAGCACCUUACCUGAUUCUUCGGAUGAAAGUUUGGUGACUGAGUGGCGGACGGGUGAGUAACGCGUGGGUAACCUGCCCUGUACAGGGGGAUAACAGCUGGAAACGGCUGCUAAUACCGCAUAAGCGCACGAGGAGACAUCUCCUUGUGUGAAAAACUCCGGUGGUACAGGAUGGGCCCGCGUCUGAUUAGCUGGUUGGCAGGGUAACGGCCUACCAAGGCAACGAUCAGUAGCCGGUCUGAGAGGAUGAACGGCCACAUUGGAACUGAGACACGGUCCAAACUCCUACGGGAGGCAGCAGUGGGGAAUAUUGCACAAUGGGGGAAACCCUGAUGCAGCAACGCCGCGUGAGUGAAGAAGUAUUUCGGUAUGUAAAGCUCUAUCAGCAGGGAAGAUAAUGACGGUACCUGACGAAGAAGCGCCGGCUAAAUACGUG